GUCGCCUCCCCCUCAGCCCCUCAGCUCCUCGUUGUCCCGUCGUCCUCCUCGACGUUUCGUCGUUAUCCUCCUUCGACAUCGUCGUCCCGUCAUCGUCUCGCCCCUCACCUCGUGCCCGAGCCCUCCCUCUCCUCCGGCAUCGCCGCCCAUCCUCGCCGAUACGAGAGGGAAGCACCGGAUCUUAGCGGAGCUCAAGAGGUUUGAACAAGAAGCUCGAUUCUUGGAGGUUAUUGUUGAGAGCUUGUCAGAAGACGAAAUUGCUAGCCUCAAGGAUGCCUUAUUUUUUACUUGUGUGAGUAAUUUAGCCUAAUAUUUUGUGAGAAUCAGAAAAGAAACUAGUGUUUUCAUGUGACGUAUCCAACAAGCUAUUGUAGUGUUAUCUUCUAUGGUUCAUGACUGCGGUUUCAACGGGUGGCAUGCCUCUGGUAGACCUUAUUUGCCGAUGCACUAACAUCCAUUGUAAAUAAUUUAUGUAAAAGUUUGUAAACAAUUUAUGUACUAUUUGCAUAUAAUUGGAUUUGAUA